GGGGCUGUAGCUCAGUAGGGAGAGCGCCUCGUUCGCAACGAGGAGGUAAGGGGUUCGAAUCCCCUCAGCUCCA
rnacentral:tRNA from 1 species